CGAACGCUGGCGGCGUGCUUAACACAUGCAAGUCGAACGGUGAAGCCCUUCGGGGUGGAUCAGUGGCGAACGGGUGAGUAACACGUGGGGAAUCUGCCCUGAACUCUGGGACAAGCCUUGGAAACGAGGUCUAAUACCGGAUACGACCUUCUCCUGCAUGGGGGUUGGUGGAAAGCUCCGGCGGUUCAGGAUGAUCCCGCGGCCUAUCAGCUUGUUGGUGGGGUAAUGGCCUACCAAGGCGACGACGGGUAGCCGGCCUGAGAGGGCGACCGGCCACACUGGGACUGAGACACGGCCCAGACUCCUACGGGAGGCAGCAGUGGGGAAUAUUGCACAAUGGGCGAAAGCCUGAUGCAGCGACGCCGCGUGAGGGAUGACGGCCUUCGGGUUGUAAACCUCUUUCAGCAGGGAAGAAGCGCAAGUGACGGUACCUGCAG
rnacentral:rRNA from 4 species